CCUACGGGAGGCAGCAGUGGGGAAUCUUGCGCAAUGGGCGAAAGCCUGACGCAGCCAUGCCGCGUGAAUGAUGAAGGUCUUAGGAUUGUAAAAUUCUUUCACCGGGGACGAUAAUGACGGUACCCGGAGAAGAAGCCCCGGCUAACUUCGUGCCAGCAGCCGCGGUAAUACGAAGGGGGCUAGCGUUGCUCGGAAUUACUGGGCGUAAAGGGAGCGUAGGCGGAUAGUUUAGUCAGAGGUGAAAGCCCAGGGCUCAACCUUGGAAUUGCCUUUGAUACUGGCUAUCUUGAGUAUGGGAGAGGUUAGCGGAACUCCGAGUGUAGAGGUGAAAUUCGUAGAUAUUCGGAAGAACACCAGUGGCGAAGGCGGCUAACUGGCCCAUUACUGACGCUGAGGCUCGAAAGCGUGGGGAGCAAACAGGAUUAGAUACCCUGGUAGUCCACGCCGUAAACGAUGAGUGCUAGUUGUCGGCAUGCAUGCAUGUCGGUGACGCGAGCUACGACAUAAGACACUCCGCCGUCGGGGAGGUACGGUCGCGAGAAUUAAACUAACGAAGAAGUAGACGGCGUGAGACGUGCCGAACGACGACGACGAGGGAGGUAGG
rnacentral:rRNA from 1 species